UGCCAUCACAAUGUCGCUUAGCUACUUCAGAUAUCUGAAUUUGAAUCUAAUGGACUUGUUAAACUUUUCUAGGCAUUGGAAUGCGUAUACCGUUCUCUGCCUAUAAUAAAUAGAAAAUAAGUGACAAUUCGACCAUCAUGUCAGAACGAGAAAAUUGUGUCCCUCAUCAGCUGUAAGUAUUUUAUUUAUUUUUUAUUUAUUUUAAUACGAAACUAGUGACUUAUGAAACGUCCCGAGGCCAUGAGCUGCGCAAUACUCUUCCCUGCUUGCAGAAAGUAGGUUACAUUACACAACCAUCUCUGUCAAAACGAGAGGGCUUGUGUGCCGAUUAUCAGCAGGACGUGAGUGUGGGUGACGCGACAGGAAGUUAUGUAAAGAGGUGCUCCUCCCUCCCUCCCUCUCUCCCUCCCUGCUUGUUUACAUUCCUUAAGGAGGGAUAAAUUAGUUCAAUAUGAGACAAUUAUCUGCCACAGAGUAGGGUUUACUGAGCUUACAUUUGACUGAGUCUUGAAAUCAUGUAAUCAUUUUGACUUCAUUUUAUUUACAACUCUUACAUUGCAUUUUUUUUUUUUUUUCACGUAUUUACAUCUCUUAUUUCUUUUACUUUUGAUAACCUUCAAAUAAAGUUAACCCCGCAAUGAAGCACUGAAAACGGGCUGCGUGGCUUUCAUCAUAUUAAGAAGAAUGAAAGAAAAUAAAGUAUAUUAAAGUUAGAAUAACGUUUUAAUUGUUAUCACUAAAGUUUAUUUCUAGUGUUGUUAUUGAGUGCAGUGCAGUACCGUAUACCAUGGAAAAAUAGCUCUCCAUGAUUUUUUUAUAUAUUAAAGUAUUUAAGAUCAUUCAUAACCACCUGGUGAACUGUGGCUGUUUUCUUGCUCUUUAUGAGUCCUCCUCAGAAACAUUUUUUUUUUAAGAAAGAACACAUCCCGAUUAUCAGAGAAAUUUUUUUUUUUUCGAUUUUUUUAACGCAGGUCCGAACAUGUACAAAAAAUGGAUAUAAAAAAAUCCGAUUAAAAUUUUUUAUCUAAGUUUACAUACAAUUAAAUCAGGAAUAGGAGAAUGAGAAUAUUUAUAUGAAAUACAUAUAUCAUUCGAAAAAGUAUGUUUUUUUGUUUUUUUUGUUUUAAAGCGAAAUAUGAUUAUUAUCUAUGCUGCACUCCUAAGAACUUUAAAUAAUAUUUUAACUAUAUACAGUGGCUCUUCUUUGAACAAAAAUCAUAUCCCCAUUAUCAAAUAAAAAAUGAAUUAUUAUUUUUUUUUCCGAUUUGUUAACACAGGUCCAGACCUGUACAAAAAUUGAAAAAAAAAGAAAAAAAGAUUGGGAUAUAUUCCUUACUUAAACGAAUUAAUCACACUGAAUAAAAAGCGUGUGGUCACGGCUUAUAUGUGCUUGAAAUCAGUGUGUGUGUGUGUGUGUGUGUGUGUGUGUGUGUGUGUGUGUGUGUGUGUGUGUGUAGAGAGAGAGUGCCACGUGGACUGUCGUCGGUGGCCCACAGUGCCACAGUCAGUCAGUCAGAUCGAAAGCACCAACGUGUCGCGGUCCGCCCUGUGAGACUCGUGAUCCGCGGGACACCCCGCCAUUCGGUCCUCAGUUUUAUAAUGGUAAAGGGAGCAGAAAGAAUUCAGUUGGUGGUGCAUGAAGACCAGCAGCAUUCCGGACCACUGGCUUCAACACUGCCCCGGCUUCCUGCGUGGAGGUCUUCCUCCUUUCGUCUCCCUUUCUCCCCUUCGUCGUGAUAGGUUCUCAGGUACACAAGUGCCAAAUGAUGGUGCCAGGUCGCGUGUUCCGGGCUGGAUUACAUCAAGUCCAAUCAGGGAAGAACCGUAGCGAGGAGCCUCUUCAUGUUUGUGAUAUGGGCCAGGGAGAGAGGCAGGUGGAGAGACCAGAGAGGCGGAGCAGGGAGGGCGGACAGGAGCGUGUUCAAACUCCGACUGGUGCUAAUCUUGACUGUCAUCAUUACCACCACCACUACCACCACCACUACCACCACCACCACCACCACCACCACCACCACCAAGGAAUUUCGUAUCGUACACAAGAAAUUAUGAAGUAAAAUAGUAAAGUAGAAAAAGAUAGAAGAGAAAGACAAAUUACUCUCACUCAACCAUCCAUGGAAGGACGAGAGCGAGUGAAACAAGCGAGUGAAUCAAGAUGAAUGGCGGCUUAGAGACACUAGGACGCUGACAACGCCGAGGAAAGGUUGCAGGGGACGACCACGCGGCAAUAUGAGGGGAAGGGGGAGGAAAGUAGAAGCCUGAAUCUUUAAGCCCUUCUGGUACAUACAGAUGCAUUACCGUUCUCAAAUAUGGAAACUGUAUUAUUCUAUUUUUUUUUCUUUGCAUUGUCAUGUUUUUCCCUCUUUUUGUUUGUAUUUUCUUUUGUCUGUGUUAUCUCUUGUAUUCUCUCCCUUUGUGUGUAUUGUCUCACUUCUUCUGUAUUCUUUCCUCUUGCCUGUGUUGUUUUCCGUAUUCUUUCCUUUUGUAGGUUAACAGUAAACAACUUUCUUUUUUAUCAUGGGAAACUUCUUGCUCUUCUCAUUCACGUUUGUCUCAUCACCAUUCCUACUGCUACACCCUACAGUGCAUGCACCACGCCAUGCGCUCACCAGACAGCCCAAAACCCUCUUCCACAAAAUGAUGUCACGCGGUUUGGACGGAGCUGGGAAGUGUCUUUUGAAGUUUAAUUUAGUUUCAGUCCACUACCAACACUUUCGCAAAUCUAUGCAUACAUCAGACACUCAAGCCUCCCCACAAACUGAUGUCACACGAUUUGAGGAUGUUGUGAAGUGACCUUUGAAGUUUAAUAUGGCUUAAAUUCACUUCUCUCACUUCCACAAAUUUAUGCAUACAUCAAACAACGAAACCCUUUCUCCAUUAACAUGAAUUAGUUAUAGAUUACGGUAUCUUGUAUCCUGUUUUCCUUCAACAAUUUCCUGUCAGGUUUUCUCUGCCGCCCCUUGUUGCCUCACCUCUGUUGCCUCUCCUCAGCCCAACCUUGAGUGAAGGAAUCUGAAGGCGGGGAGGAGUUUACUGCUAUAAGAUUCUUUUCUCCGUACCUGGAAGUUUAAGAAUCGUAGUAAACAGGUUAUCAUCAUGGCCCAUUGUACUUUUGUAUUUCUCUCUAGGACUGUGGUCUCCAGCGUUCCGCGUCAUCUGGGAGUUACUGAGGGGUUUCCAAGAGUGCUUUCAUGAUUCGAGUGAGAGUUUAACAAUAAUACGGCGACAUUAAUAGGAAAAAAAAAACACUCGUGAGAACUCGACUAAUCAUCUCUGAACCUUAAAAGAUAGUUCGUUCUUGAGUUAAAAACGUUUAAAAAUACGAAUUUUGAUCUUUUUACAUUUCUUCAUUCCCUUUCUAAUGAUCAGUUCAUUGCUUUCUACCUUCUUUCACCCUUAUUCUGUCCACCUCCCUAAUGCAAGAGUUAACCGGUAUUCUCAGUCUUUCAUCCCUUUUCCUAUUAAGCUCUGGAACUCCUUGCCUGCUUCUGUAUUUCCUGUGGCCUUUUGACUUGAACCGGUGAGUUUCAAGACACUUCUCAGAUUUUCGGAUAACCUUUUUGACUAUACUCUUUGGGAGACUAACAUCUACAUAAGAGCCACAGAGUCAUUCCUUCAUCUACAUCUCCCGUCACUUCGAAUCCCUCUCAAUCUUCAUUUAGCCUGACUAUACAAAACUUCAGACUCACCUUUACAACUCCUGUAUUUUCUCCCUUCAUGUUCAGUUCACCAUUAUUAUAUAAGAAGAGCCACAUCUCUGUACAUCUCAGCGUCACUUCAAAUUCCUCCCAAUCUUUAUUUACCCACGCAAGACCUCAGGCUCGCUUCUUUUUCCUCUUCCUCCAUCCCUAACGAGGUCCUGUAGGGGCGCCUCUCGCCUCUUUCUUGCGUGUGAGCACCAAUGACGCACCUGUAAUCACUUCCUGCUGGCGUCUCUCACCUGCUCCUUCCUCCAGUGACCGCGUGACAACCUGUGCGUGUGCGUGCGUGUGUGUGUGUGUGUGUGCGUGCGUGUGUGUGCGUGCUCAGAGGUGCAUAGAAAAUCUACCAGGAAACCACACCCACUGCCUAAGGUGCUGGGAGGAGGGCCUGUGUGUGUGUGUGUGUGUGUGUGUGUGUGUGUGUGUGUGUGUGUGUGUGUGUGGUGAAAAGUCCCGUGUGGCAAUCCUUGGGAGAUGAGGAGGAAAUGAUGGUGGCCCGCCGCUCUCUGUCCCUGCCUAGAAAAAUUCCCCAUCUCUUUUGUGUGCCUGUGUUUGAGAGAGAGAGAGAGAGAGAGAGAGAGAGAGAGAGAGAGAGAGAGAGAGAGAGAGAGAGAGAGAGAGAGAGAGAUCCGGAUGGUCCCUUUGAACUUUCUGAAAUAGUUUAUUGUAUGAUUUGUUUGCGAGUGGAGAUCUUUAAAUCAAGGGUAUUAUCAGACAUAACACAUACCAACCUGGUCAUAAGAGAACGACUAUUAAAUACUUAAAAACCAUGUAAUUAAAGUGCGAAUAUAAAGACUAUUGCAUUCAAAGAUUAAACUGUAUCACAUCCUCUGUGCUUAUGUUAACUAAGGGAAGGAAAGACUCAAACAUUUAUCCCUCAUUACCUUUACUGAUUCUUUAUUCCCUGUGUGCUGAUAAUAUUAACAAUUUCACUGCUAUGAUCGUCUUUUACUAACAGAUAACUAUGAUAAAUCGUUUGG